CGCGUAGGCGGCUAGGUAAGUCAGAAGUGAAAUUCCAGAGCUCAACUCUGGAGCUGCUUUUGAAACUACUUGGCUUGAGGAUAGACGGAGAAAAUGGAAUUCCACAUGUAGCGGUGAAAUGCGUAGAUAUGUGGAGGAACACCGGUGGCGAAAGCGGUUUUCUAGUUUAUACCUGACGCUGAGGCGCGAAAGCAAGGGGAGCAAACAGGAUUAGAUACCCUGGUAGUCC
rnacentral:rRNA from 1 species